UCCCAGUUCGGAUUGUAGUCUGCAACCCGACUACAUGAAGCUGGAAUCGCUAGUAAUCGCGGAUCAGAAUGCCGCGGUGAAUACGUUCCCGGGUCUUGUACACACCGCCCGUCACACCAUGGGAGUCGGAAAUGCCCGAAGUCUGUGACCUAACCGUAAGGAAGGAGCAGCCGAAGGCAGGUCGGAAUGACUGGGGUGAAGUCGUAACAAGGUAUC
rnacentral:rRNA from 1 species